UGAAUACGAGACGCUACGGCGUCGAAGCAGUCUAUGUCAUACUUCCAAGAAAAGCUUGCACUGUCAUAAACAAAUAAUGCCUGUACCAUAACCGACACAGGUGGGUAGGUAGAGUAUACUAAGGGGCGCGAGAUAACUCUCUCUAAGGAACUCGGCAAAAUGACUCCGUAACUUCGGGAGAAGGAGUGCCUUAUUUAUAAGGUUGCAAUAACAAGAUCCAAGCAACUGUUUAUCAAAAACACAGGUCUCCGCUAAGUCGUAAGACGAUGUAUGGGGGCUGACGCCUGCCCAGUGCCAGAAGGUUAAAGAUGUUGGUUAGCAUUAGCGAAGCUGAUAACUGAAGCCCUGGUGAACGGCGGCCGUAACUAUAACGGUCCUAAGGUAGCGAAAUUCCUUGUCGGGUAAGUUCCGACCCGCACGAAAGGCGUAAUGAUUUGGAUACUGUCUCAGAGAGGGGCUCGGUGAAAUAGACUUGUCUGUGAAGAUGCGGACUACCUGCACCAGGACAGAAAGACCCUAUGAAGCUUUACUGUAACUUGAAAUUGAAAUUGGACUUUAUUUGCGCAGUAUAGGUGGGAGGCAUUGAUAAUAUUCUUGCGGGAAUGUUGGAGCCAUCAGUGAGAUACCACUCUUGUAAUGUUAGAUUUCUAACUUUGGAUCAUUAUCUGGUCAAAGGACAGUUUCAGGCGGGCAGUUUGACUGGGGCGGUCGCCUCCUAAAUGGUAACGGAGGCGCACAAAGGUUUCCUCUGAACGGGUAGAAAUCGUAUCUAGAGUGUAAAGGCAUAAGGAAGCUUGACUGUGAGACCUACAAGUCGAGCAGGGACGAAAGUCGGUCUUAGUGAUCUGACGGUGCUGAGUGGAAAGGCCGUCACUCAACGGAUAAAAGUUACUCUAGGAUAACAGGCUGAUCUCCCCCAAGAGUUCACAUCGACGGGGAGGUUUUGGCACCUCGAUGUCGGCUCAUCGCAUCCUGGGGCGGUAGUACGUCCCAAGGGUUGGGCUGUUCGCCCAUGAAAGCGGUACGCGAGCUGGGUUCAGAACGUCGUGAGACAGUUCGGUCCAUAUCCGGUGUAGGCGUUAGAAUAUUGAGAGGAGCCUUCUUUAGUACGAGAGGACCGAGAAGGACAUACCUCUGGUGUACCAGUUAUCGUGCCAACGGUAAACGCUGGGUAGCUAUGUAUGGAGAGGAUAACCGCUGAAAGCAUCUAAGUGGGAAGCCCACCUCAAGAUUAGUAUUCUCAUG
rnacentral:rRNA from 1 species